rnacentral:rRNA from 1 species
GAUGAACGCUGGCGGCGUGCCUAAUACAUGCAAGUCGAGCGAACAGACGAGGAGCUUGCUCCUCUGACGUUAGCGGCGGACGGGUGAGUAACACGUGGAUAACCUACCUAUAAGACUGGGAUAACUUCGGGAAACCGGAGCUAACACCGGAUAAUAUAUUGAACCGCAUGGUUCAAUAGUGAAAGACGGUUUUGCUGUCACUUAUAGAUGGAUCCGCGCCGCAUUAGCUAGUUGGUAAGGUAACGGCUUACCAAGGCAACGAUGCGUAGCCGACCUGAGAGGGUGAUCGGCCACACUGGAACUGAGACACGUUCCAGACUCCUACGGGAGGCAGCAGUAGGGAAUCUUCCGCAAUGGGCGAAAGCCUGACGGAGCAACGCCGCGUGAGUGAUGAAGGUCUUCGGAUCGUAAAACUCUGUUAUUAGGGAAGAACAAAUGUGUAAGUAACUAUGCACGUCUUGACGGUACCUAAUCAGAAAGCCACGGCUAACUACGUG